ACCCGCUGAACUUAAGCAUAUCAAUAAGCGGAGGAAAAGAAACCAACAGGGAUUGCCCUAGUAACGGCGAGUGAAGCGGCAACAGCUCAAAUUUGAAAUCUGGCUCUUUUAGAGUCCGAGUUGUAAUUUGCAGAGGGCGCUUUGGCUUUGGCAGCGGUCCAAGUUCCUUGGAACAGGACGUCACAGAGGGUGAGAAUCCCGUACGUGGUCGCUGGCUAUUGCCGUGUAAAGCCCCUUCGACGAGUCGAGUUGUUUGGGAAUGCAGCUCUAAAUGGGAGGUACAUUUCUUCUAAAGCUAAAUAUUGGCCAGAGACCGAUAGCGCACAAGUAGAGUGAUCGAAAGAUGAAAAGCACUUUGGAAAGAGAAUCAAACAGCACGUGAAAUUGUUGAAAGGGAAGCGCUUGCAGCCAGACUUGCUUGCAGUUGCUCAUCCGGGCUUUUGCCCGGUGCACUCUUCUGUAGGCAGGCCAGCAUCAGUUUGGGCGGUAGGAUAAAGGUCUCUGUCACGUACCUCUCUUCGGGGAGGCCUUAUAGGGGAGACGACAUACUACCAGCCUGGACUGAGGUCCGCGCAUCUGCUAGGAUGCUGGCGUAAUGGCUGU
rnacentral:rRNA from 1 species